rnacentral:rRNA from 1 species
UACGAAGGGGGGCUAGCGUUGCUCGGAAUCACUGGGCGUAAAGCGCACGUAGGCGGACUCUUAAGUCGGUGGUGAAAUCCUGGAGCUCAACUCCAGAACUGCCUUCGAUACUGAGAGUCUCGAGUCCGGGAGAGGUGAGUGGAACUGCGAGUGUAGAGGUGAAAUUCGUAGAUAUUCGCAAAGAACACCAGUGGCGAAGGCGCUCUG